UUUCUUUUUUUUUUUUUUUUUUUACUCUCAAUUAUUUGCUAGAAUUACCAACACUUGAGAUGAGCUGCCUUUGGAGGUGCUGAGUUUUUUAGUGUCGGCACCAGCUCAGCAGAACUCUGGAGGAUAAACUUUAAAUACAGAGUUUCAGCAAGCAAAGCCAAAACUUCUCUAGUCCAUCUUGGACGUGGUGGAAGUGUGCUAUGUUAAUUUUACGUUUUCAUCGAGUGCCAAGGGUCAGUACAGGCCCUCUGACCUGCUGUGUCCAGAGACCUACGUGUGGACGCCGAUCGAGCAGUGCCUGCCCCUGCUGGAGAACUCCAAGUACUCUCGGUUCAACCAGGAUGAAAAAGCAGGUAAAGAAGGAGAUGGGA